CCGGCGACCGGCGCACGGGUGAGUAACACGUAUGCAACCUGCCCUCCGCAGGGGGAUAACCCGGAGAAAUCCGGCCUAAUACCGCAUGUGGCCGAGGGGAGGCAUCUUCUUUCGGCCAAAGGAGGCGACUCCGGAGACGGAUGGGCAUGCGUGACAUUAGCUUGUUGGCGGGGUAACGGCCCACCAAGGCGACGAUGUCUAGGGGUUCUGAGAGGAAGGUCCCCCACACUGGUACUGAGACACGGACCAGACUCCUACGGGAGGCAGCAG
rnacentral:rRNA from 1 species